rnacentral:rRNA from 1 species
GACGAACCGCCCGAACGUUGUUCGGAAUCACUGGGCUUAAAGGGAGCGUAGGCGGGCUGCCAAGUCCGGGGUGAAAUCCUCCAGCUUAACUGGAGAACUGCCUCGGAUACUGGAAGUCUCGAGGAGGGUAGGGGCAAGUGGAACCGUGGGUGGAGCGGUGAAAUGCGUUGAUAUCCAUGGGAACUCCGGUGGCGAAGGCGACUUGCCGGACCCUUUCUGACGCUGAGGCUCGAAAGCCAGGGGAGCAAACGGG